rnacentral:rRNA from 1 species
UACGGAGGGUGCGAGCGUUGUCCGGAAUCAUUGGGCGUAAAGGGCGCGUAGGUGGCGGGACAAGCGUGCGGUGAAAGCCUGGGGCUCAACCCCGGGUCGGCCGUGCGAACUGUUUUGCUUGAGCACUGUAGAGGCAGGCGGAAUUCCGGGUGUAGCGGUGGAAUGCGUAGAGAUCCGGAAGAACACCGGUGGCGAAGGCGGCCUGCUGGGCAGAGCUGGACACUGAGGCGCGACAGCGUGGGGAGCAAAC